GUCCCCCAAACCGAGGACUUUUCCCCCCCUCUUCUUUUUUUUUAUUACUACCAACCCUGCUUCAUCCACCCGGGCGUUUACUCAGCGGAUUUUAUUGGACCGCGUUUCUUUUUCAACCCCCGGUCUUUGGGCUAUGCCGUCGGGGGCUGGUGAGGCUGGAGAGAACCGAGGAAACCUACCACAGGUGAAAGGAGCUUUUACGACGCUGCGGUAUACAUGAUUAAACACUUUGAGCGUUAACUCAGCCACCAGCGCUUUCUUUUACUAUAAUAAAGGACGCGGAAUUGAGGUUAACACACUUUGGGUCAACUAAAAAGGACGUUUUCUAACUUGUGCACAGAAAAAAACACUGCGUUUAUCCCCCAAAUGGGAUUCUUUUAAGGAAAAUGUGACCUUUUUCUUUUGCGCACCGGCAAUUCGACUAUCUUUGGAGCAAAUAUCUGCUUUUCCAUCACUUGCUCCGUUUUUUUGUGGGAUUUACACGCAUUGUGACAGGCCGAGCUGGAUUGUGAGAUCUUUAUUUUUUUUAUUAUCACUAUUCGUCUCUUCACACAGAGGAAGUGCGUUCUCCGUUUGUUCAAUGGCUUCGGUGUCAAGGUUGGCAAGGCGCAAAGAUGCCAGUCGCUGGCCGAGGAUGUCGUCAACUUUCUGGGCUGUGGUGCUUCUGACAGCGCUACUGCUUCUCUACUGCGGCCAGCUGGCAGCGGGGACAUGUGAGAUUGUGACGCUGGACAGGGACAGCAGCCAACCACGGCGGACCAUCGCCAGGCAGACGGCCCGCUGCGCCUGUAAGAAGGGCCAGAUCGCUGGAACUACAAGAGCCAGACCUGCCUGUGUGGACGCUGGUAUUGUUCGGAAAAAGCAGUGGUGUGAGAUGGUGCCAUGUUUGGAGGACGAAGGCUGUGACCUGUUAGUCAAUAAAUCUGGCUGGACUUGUACACAGCCCGGAGGCCGAGUCAAAACCACCACGGCUCUAUGACGCGACAAGAGUCCCCCUCGACACUCUUGCACUAUGGAGAGCAUUGAUGACCCCUUGACAGACAGCCAAAAACCAUCUGCCAACACCACCCUACCACAGCCACCACCACCACCACCACCACCACCAACAUCACAACUACUCCACCCAAACCCUGGUCCCGCAAAGGCAGGAAGCAACACAAGCAGCUACAGAGCACCAAGGGCCUCAUGGAGGCAGCAAGGUCUCAUAACACAGCCAGAGACGGGAAAACCAGGGAGCGACUGUUUAAGGGACACUGGACAAACUACUCGCUCUAAAACACUUUCCAUUUCCUGUGAACGGCCCCUCCGGGUUUGUGACUGCUCCCUCCUGCUAUCUGUCGUUGGGUCACAAAGUUUGCGUCCACCUCCUUUCCACUCUAUCUGCCUGCUCUGUGAAAUUAGCAGCACCCGCUCGUGCCACGGAGGAUCGGACGUCUUAAAAAUCCCAUGAAUGGUUUUUGCCUCAUUGGAAGUACUGUGUGUGAAACUGCUAACUGCUUCGAAUAAGGGAUUUCCCCCAACAUCUCUCUCCUCGCCUCUAGAGCAGGAGUUCCAGAGCAAAGACGGGAUCAUUACAGACCGGACCCUGUUGCUUCUUGGACCGUUAAAAACUGAACUGAGCGCUCUCUGCUGUGAAUAGGCCUUCUGCUGGAGUAAACCUCCCAUAUUUUUAUAGACCAAAGAGCAAAACAACAAAUACGAUCAUUACGCCAGAGUGGACCAUGUGGCAAAGACACACAGAGACUUUGUGAACUUGCUGUUCGUGUCGCCACCGACUAACGACUGCCCCCCCACAGAGACAUGGUGCACAAGUGGACCGGCGCAAACCGAACGGUGGAACGUGUACCGAACACAAUCAAAGGAGUACUUUUAAAACUUUCCGGACAUUUUUUUCUCAGACUAAGCCCACCACUGUAUUUUGGAACUGGAGAUAUAGGUACUACAUACGUAUAACUGUGUAUCAAAAAAAAAAAAAAAAAAAAAAAUCUGAUUUGCAUUUUUCAGUAGCUACGGUUGGGACAGUUUGCAGGAAGCGUUGUCGAGCGGAUCAGGAGCGAAAAUCAUAUCAAAGAGACGAAGAGAAUAUCUACAGAGAGUAUAAAAGCUAUUGAGUCUGAAAAGAAGGAGUAAAGAAAUGUCAUUAAAUGUAUUUUGAAAGGCCCUAAAAAGUUAUAUAUUUAACAGUUUUAUAUGUUGUACCUUUGUAGAGAAGCUUAUUGGACUUAAAAUGUGGUCACAAUGGCAGUUUAGUAGGAUGUGAACAAAUGCUGUUGUUCUCAUUACUGCUGGCUCGUAGUCCCAGGUUUUCUGUUCACACCUCAGUAGCCGCUUUCUUUUCAUGGUCAUCUACAAGUCACUGUCUAUCAGAACCAUUAAUGAAAAAAAAGGAAAGUGACACAAUUUAUUGAGGACUGAUCUGCAGCCAACUGAACAUUGUAAAUCUAUGGUAGUCAGUGGAAGCCAUUGAAAUCUGCUAAUUUGCUAUGAUAUUGUAUUGUACACGGUGUGGAAUACUGACUUAUUUCCUCUC